rnacentral:rRNA from 1 species
GACAGAGGUGCCAAGCGUUAGGCGGAAUCACUGGGCUUAAAGCGUGUGUAGGUGGAUGUCUAAGUACCUUGUGAAAUCCCAUGGCUCAACCAUGGAACUGCUCGGUAUACUGGAUGUCUUGAGCCACUUAGGGGCUACCGGAACAAAUGGUGGAGCGGUGAAAUGCGUAGAUAUCAUUUGGAACGCCAAUGGUGAAAACAGGUAGCUGGGAGUGUGCUGACACUGAGACACGAAAGCCAGGGGAGCGAACGGG